AGAGUUUGAUCAUGGCUCAGGAUGAACGCUGGCGGCGUGCUUAACACAUGCAAGUCGAACGAUGAAGCCCAGCUUGCUGGGUGGAUUAGUGGCGAACGGGUGAGUAACACGUGAGUAACCUGCCCUUAACUCUGGGAUAAGCCUGGGAAACUGGGUCUAAUACCGGAUAGGAGCGUCCACCGCAUGGUGGGUGUUGGAAAGAUUUAUCGGUUUUGGAUGGACUCGCGGCCUAUCAGCUUGUUGGUGAGGUAAUGGCUCACCAAGGCGACGACGGGUAGCCGGCCUGAGAGGGUGACCGGCCACACUGGGACUGAGACACGGCCCAGACUCCUACGGGAGGCAGCAGUGGGGAAUAUUGCACAAUGGGCGCAAGCCUGAUGCAGCGACGCCGCGUGAGGGAUGACGGCCUUCGGGUUGUAAACCUCUUUCAGUAGGGAAGAAGCGAAAGUGACGGUACCUGCAGAAGAAGCACCGGCUAACUACGUGCCAGCAGCCGCGGUAAUACGUAGGGUGCGAGCGUUAUCCGGAAUUAUUGGGCGUAAAGAGCUCGUAGGCGGUUUGUCGCGUCUGUCGUGAAAGUCCGGGGCUUAACCCCGGAUCUGCGGUGGGUACGGGCAGACUAGAGUGCAGUAGGGGAGACUGGAAUUCCUGGUGUAGCGGUGGAAUGCGCAGAUAUCAGGAGGAACACCGAUGGCGAAGGCAGGUCUCUGGGCUGUAACUGACGCUGAGGAGCGAAAGCAUGGGGAGCGAACAGGAUUAGAUACCCUGGUAGUCCAUGCCGUAAACGUUGGGCACUAGGUGUGGGGACCAUUCCACGGUUUCCGCGCCGCAGCUAACGCAUUAAGUGCCCCGCCUGGGGAGUACGGCCGCAAGGCUAAAACUCAAAGGAAUUGACGGGGGCCCGCACAAGCGGCGGAGCAUGCGGAUUAAUUCGAUGCAACGCGAAGAACCUUACCAAGGCUUGACAUGUUCUCGAUCGCCGUAGAGAUACGGUUUCCCCUUUGGGGCGGGUUCACAGGUGGUGCAUGGUUGUCGUCAGCUCGUGUCGUGAGAUGUUGGGUUAAGUCCCGCAACGAGCGCAACCCUCGUUCCAUGUUGCCAGCACGUAGUGGUGGGGACUCAUGGAAGACUGCCGGGGUCAACUCGGAGGAAGGUGAGGACGACGUCAAAUCAUCAUGCCCCUUAUGUCUUGGGCUUCACGCAUGCUACAAUGGCCGGUACAAUGGGUUGCGAUACUGUGAGGUGGAGC
rnacentral:rRNA from 1 species